AAUUGAGAGCAAGCUGGCUGUGACACCUGUCAACCCCACUGAUAGCCAGAAUUGAUUUGCUGGAUCUGUCCUCCUAAGAUGGUGUCCUGUUUCUUCCUGGCUCUGCCACAUGUGUUGUUCCAAAAGCUGGACACUUCACUGGAGAGGAUGAUUUUUCUAGAUGGAGAAAGACAACUGUCUACAGAGAAUCAAGUUCUUCUGCUGGAAUAUUCAAGGCAUGUUGAGUAGGUUCCCCUGCCUGACUGGUUCUCUCCCAGUGAUUAAGAUAAUGAGCCACUUGAAGGCAGAGAUUUCAUCUUUGUGUCUGCAGCCCCCUAGUGCCAUGCCUGGCAUGUAGUUAAUUCUU
rfam:Callithrix jacchus chromosome 7, whole genome shotgun sequence